UACAGAUCUCUGGGGUGUGUAGGGUACUGAUCUUUAUUUUGUUCCCAGGCCCGUCUUCCACUGAAGUGAAGUCUGGUCCGAUGACAUACUGCUGUGGGGAAAUCUCUCUGGGUAAGAGCCCAUACCCUAAUGUUGUGGUGGACACCUGAUUCUACAAGAUUAUCAAAGAUGGGAUGCCACAUGUCUCAUGACCAGACUUUGCCCUUCCAGUGAUGUACACUAUAAUGGAGAUGUGCUAGAACCUGGAGCCAAUAGUGUCUCCAAACUUCAUUGGUCAGCUUAUCCAGAGGCUACUGCUUGACCAGCCAGACCAGGUGAGUGACCAAGGACCUAAAUUAAGUAGAGAGUCUGUGUAUCCUAUUGUCAUAUUGUGUUGUUUUUACCUUACAUCAAAA